CCUACGGGAGGCAGCAGUGAGGAAUAUUGGUCAAUGGACGAGAGUCUGAACCAGCCAAGUAGCGUGAAGGAUGACUGCCCUAUGGGUUGUAAACUUCUUUUAUAUGGGAAUAAAAUGUUCCACGUGUGGGAUUUUGUAUGUACCAUAUGAAUAAGGAUCGGCUAACUCCGUGCCAGCAGCCGCGGUAAUACGGAGGAUCCGAGCGUUAUCCGGAUUUAUUGGGUUUAAAGGGAGCGUAGGUGGAUUUUUAAGUCAGUUGUGAAAGUUUGCGGCUCAACCGUAAAAUUGCAGUUGAAACUGGCAGUCUUGAGGACAGUAGAGGUGGGCGGAAUUCGUGGUGUAGCGGUGAAAGGCUUAGAUAUCACGAAGAACUCCGAUUGCGAAGGCAGCUCACUGGACUGCAACUGACACUGAGGCUCGAAAGUGUGGGUAUCAAACAGGAUUAGAUACCCUGGUAGUC
rnacentral:rRNA from 1 species